rnacentral:sRNA from 1 species
UUUCUUUCUACUUCACAGGAUCUGUGCCAGUCGUCCUCUGCCCCUAGGCGGUGCAGAGUUGAUGUCUGUGCAACUCGAUAACUCAUGGAGCCAUCCACUUGUUAUGAUGUCAAUCUUCCUAUCGACAGGUCCCAGAAUGAUCGGGGGUGUGGUUGCACUGCUCGCCGUCCUUGUGGCGGCAGAGUGGUGAUUCCGGCCAUGCUUCCAAAGCGUUAUACUCCAAACCUUUCUCCUAGGUCGUUGGCCUAUGCGGUUGAGGAAAACCAUGCGUUUACAUUU